rnacentral:rRNA from 1 species
GUUUGAUCCUGGCUCAGAUUGAACGCUGGCGGCAUGCCUUACACAUGCAAGUCGAACGGUAACGCGGGGCAACCUGGCGACGAGUGGCGAACGGGUGAGUAAUACAUCGGAACGUGCCCAGUAGUGGGGGAUAGCCCGGCGAAAGCCGGAUUAAUACCGCAUACGACCUACGGGUGAAAGCGGGGGAUCGCAAGACCUCGCGCUAUUGGAGCGGCCGAUGUCAGAUUAGCUAGUUGGUGGGGUAAAAGCCUACCAAGGCGACGAUCUGUAGCUGGUCUGAGAGGACGACCAGCCACACUGGGACUGAGACACGGCCCAGACUCCUACGGGAGGCAGCAGUGGGGAAUUUUGGACAAUGGGGGCAACCCUGAUCCAGCCAUGCCGCGUGCGGGAAGAAGGCCUUCGGGUUGUAAACCGCUUUUGUCAGGGAAGAAACGGUCUGCGCUAAUACCGCGGACUAAUACGGUACCUGAAGAAUAAGCACCGGCUAACUACGUGCCAGCAGCCGCGGUAAUACGUAGGGUGCAAGCGUUAAUCGGAAUUACUGGGCGUAAGGCGUGCGCAGGCGGCUUUGCAAGACAGAUGUGAAAUCCCCGGGCUCAACCUGGGAACUGCAUUUGUGACUGCAUGGCUAGAGUGCGGCAGAGGGGGAUGGAAUUCCGCGUGUAGCAGUGAAAUGCGUAGAUAUGCGGAGGAACACCGAUGGCGAAGGCAAUCCCCUGGGCCUGCACUGACGCUCAUGCACGAAAGCGUGGGGAGCAAACAGGAUUAGAUACCCUGGUAGUCCACGCCCUAAACGAUGCCAACUGGUUGUUGGACGGCUUGCUGUUCAGUAACGAAGCUAACGCGUGAAGUUGACCGCCUGGGGAGUACGGCCGCAAGGUUGAAACUCAAAGGAAAUGACGGGGACCCGCACAAGCGGUGGAUGAUGUGGUUUAAUUCGAUGCAACGCGAAAAACCUUACCUACCCUUGACAUGCCAGGAACUUGCCAGAGAUGGCUUGGUGCUCGAAAGAGAACCUGGACACAGGUGCUGCUUGGCCGUCAUCAGCUCGUGUCGUGAGAUGUUGGGUUAAGUCCCGCAACGAGCGCAACCCUUAUCAUUAGUUGCUACGCAAGGGCACUCUAAUGAGACUGCCGGUGACAAACCGGAGGAAGGUGGGGAUGACGUCAGGUCAUCAUGGCCCUUAUGGGUAGGGCUACACACGUCAUACAAUGGCCGGUACAGAGGGCUGCCAACCCGCGAGGGGGAGCUAAUCUCAGAAAACCGGUCGUAGUCCGGAUCGCAGUCUGCAACUCGACUGCGUGAAGUCGGAAUCGCUAGUAAUCGCGGAUCAGCUUGCCGCGGUGAAUACGUUCCCGGGUCUUGUACACACCGCCCGUCACACCAUGGGAGCGGGUUCUGCCAGAAGUAGUUAGC